CAGAAGGAACAACAUGAAAAACAAUUUAUGUUUAUGUUUAUAUUAAUGCACUUGUAAUUGGUAAUAAAUUAUUGUUUUUAUAGUCAGGAAAGGUUUUUCUGUGAAUGUGUUUAUUUAACGUCUAUUGAAUGUGUCUCCAGUGUCAACACUUUGUAAUAGUCAGAGGAAGUGGCUAACUAAAUCUUCUGGACAGAGCAGAAUAUGCUUUGUGAUUUCUUAGUAACAUAACACUUUUUUUUUUUUGUCUUUUUAACUUUCACAGAAAGAAGAUGGGGAGUGACAUCUCUUUUUUGUUUACAGCUGCUAAAAUACCGUUUAACACUCACCUCAUCUUCUUCAUCCUCCCCUUCAUCCCCUGAUUCCAGCUCCUCUUUGGGUGUGUCCUCUGAUCAAAGCAAGCAGAGAGGGGAUGUAACAUACUGAGGAACAGCAAAGCAGAGGCACCCUGAACUGAGAUCAGUUUGAAGUGGUGAAGAACACAGAAGUCGGCCUUUCAUGUGGAACGUUCACUUAAACCCGAUGACACAGAUGGAUUUUAUUGCUGAAUUACACACACACUUAAUUCCUACCUACAGCACUGUAUGAGCUGUAAUUUAAGUUCAGAAAUGAUAUUGGAAUUGCUGGAAAGUUCUACAACACGAUGUCCUACGGUUUCAUAUUUAGGCCUCUGUUUUACUGGACGUGUUUUAAAGUCGAUGAGAAGAAGGUCCUUUAUUCAGCUACUAAUUAAUUCACCUCAAUACACCUUUAUAAUUUAUACACCGUUAUUCAGCUAA